UUGAAUUUACCGCAUGAUGUUUUUAUUUAUUUAUUUAUUUUUCCAGGUAUGCGUUUUCAGAAGAUUAAAUGUUAUAGUAAAUACAGAAAACAUAAAAUAGUAAUUCUUUUUAGUUCUACAACAUUUCCCUCUCUCCCAAAUCGAAUAUUAAUAUAAAAAUUAGGGAAGAUUUUAAAAAAUAUUUUUCCGUGUCUUCCCGCUUCCAUCAUUCAUUCUCCCUCUAAUUCCACAAUUCUCCAUUCUCUCGUUUCCUUCUCUACCUUGCAUCUGAAUGAAAGGAAGAAGAUGGAGGUUGUUUUUACACCGUCGUUUCUUGAUAAUUCUCGCGCUACCGUUGAUAUUUCUGGAGGUUUCUGGAAUCUUCGCGCUAACGUUGAGAUGCUCUGCUACAAAUCUCGUUCGUUGCCUCGUCUCCGUUGCUCCGCUCGCUUAAUCGCUGCUUCCGAGCUUCAGAACCCUGUGUCCUCUCCGAUUUUUUUUGUUCAAAACAGUAAUGGCUAACUCCAGUAUCGCAAUCUACCAAGAUAAUUAUAAUCGAAAAUCACAUGUUUGGGACAAUGGCUGAAGUGAAGGUUCUGUUGAUUGUGAGUUUUGGCUCUUACAGAUAUCAGAAUCAAGCCUAUUGUCUCUUAAUAUGGCAACGAGUUCAAAGAAAAUUUGCAUUGCUAUUUGGAUUGAAC